rnacentral:rRNA from 1 species
UACAGAGGGGGCAAGCGUUGUUCGGAAUUACUGGGCGUAAAGGGCUCGUAGGUGGCCAACUAAGUCAGACGUGAAAUCCCUCGGCUUAACCGGGAACUGCAUCUGAUACUGGAUGGCUUGAGUUUGGGAGAGGGAUGCGGAAUUCCAGGUGUAGCGGUGAAAUGCGUAGAUAUCUGGAGGAACACCGGUGGCGAAGGCGACGUCCUGGACCGGCAUUGACGCUGAGGCGCGAAAGCCAGGGGAGCAAGCGGGGAUU